CAACGAGCGCAACCCUCGUCACUAGUUACUAACGAUUCGGUCGAGGACUCUAGUGAGACUGCCUUCGUAAGGAGGAGGAAGGUGAGGACGACGUCAAGUCAUCAUGGCCCUUACGGCUAGGGCAACACACGUGCUACAAUGGUUAGGACAAUGAGAAGCAAUAUCGCGAGGUGGAGCAAAUCUAUAAACCUAAUCUCAGUUCGGAUUGUAGUCUGCAACUCGACUACAUGAAGCUGGAAUCACUAGUAAUCGUAGAUCAGCUAUGCUACGGUGAAUACGUUCCCGGGUCUUGUACUCACCGCCCGUCACACCAUGGGAGUUGAUUUCACCCGAAGCGGGGAAGCUAAACUGGCUACCCUCCACGGUGGAAUUAGCGACUGGGGUGAAGUCGUAACAAGGUAACC
rnacentral:rRNA from 1 species